GCAAGUCGAGCGAACGGACGAGAAGCUUGCUUCUCUGAUGUUAGCGGCGGACGGGUGAGUAACACGUGGAUAACCUACCUAUAAGACUGGGAUAACUUCGGGAAACCGGAGCUAAUACCGGAUAAUAUUUUGAACCGCAUGGUUCAAAAGUGAAAGACGGUCUUGCUGUCACUUAUAGAUGGAUCCGCGCUGCAUUAGCUAGUUGGUAAGGUAACGGCUUACCAAGGCAACGAUGCAUAGCCGACCUGAGAGGGUGAUCGGCCACACUGGAACUGAGACACGGUCCAGACUCCUACGGGAGGCAGCAGUAGGGAAUCUUCCGCAAUGGGCGAAAGCCUGACGGAGCAACGCCGCGUGAGUGAUGAAGGUCUUCGGAUCGUAAAACUCUGUUAUUAGGGAAGAACAUAUGUGUAAGUAACUGUGCACAUCUUGACGGUACCUAAUCAGAAAGCCACGGCUAACUACGUGCCAGCAGCCGCGGUAAUACGUAGGUGGCAAGCGUUAUCCGGAAUUAUUGGGCGUAAAGCGCGCGUAGGCGGUUUUUUAAGUCUGAUGUGAAAGCCCACGGCUCAACCGUGGAGGGUCAUUGGAAACUGGAAAACUUGAGUGCAGAAGAGGAAAGUGGAAUUCCAUGUGUAGCGGUGAAAUGCGCAGAGAUAUGGAGGAACACCAGUGGCGAAGGCGACUUUCUGGUCUGU
rnacentral:rRNA from 1 species